UUUUUUUUUAAGCAACCCAGUGUCUGUUCAGGGUUGAGACCCACUGUCGUCUGAUACUGCUAGGGAAGCAUGAUUGAGCUCCCCCAAGACACCAUCCCUGCUACACAGGGAAGCAGUCAGGACCUGAAACUGGAAGCUGCCAUUCCACCAGCAUGCUUUGCCACCCUGAAGAGUGACACCAAGAGCAGAAGAAACGCCCCAGAGUGAAGGACUCCAGUGUGUCUGGGUUUGGUUCUUGGAACAAAACUUCUGACAAGUCUUGCCAGCGAAUCCUGAGACUAUGGUUGUCAGCUCUGACACGUAGACAGUGGCUGCACUCUGUUUCUGAGAUGAGGGUCUCCGGCCAUUUCAAAUAAAUAAUUUCAAUUUCCAA